GCUCCGAGGAGGAGGACGAGGACUUUGACGAGCGGCCCGAGGGCCGGCGUCAGUCCAAGCGGCAGCUGCGGAACGAGAAGGACAAACCCCUCCCCCCACUGCUGGCCCGGGUGGGCGGCAACAUCGAGGUGCUGGGGUUCAACACGAGGCAGCGCAAGGCCUUCCUGAACGC